AUGAUCGUGAUCUUGGUCGCGGCGAUCUUCGGAUGCGGCGUGGCGCUCGUAUGCGCCUACAGAGGCGCCAGGUGGUGUCUCAACCGUAUCGCCAAGAGCUUGGCGGUGGUGCCGGAACACGUGAUGAGGAACGCCACGGUCGAGCGCUUCGUGCUGGACAUGGCCAAGGAGAAGCCCAUCCGGUUCACGGCGGAGCAGCUCACCGGAAUCACGCGCAACUACUCCAUGCGCCUUGGGACCGGCGGCUUCGGCACCGUCUACCGAGGCGCGCUCCCCAACGGCCUCGCCGUGGCCGUCAAGGUGCUCCACCCUGGCCUCGACACCAAGACGUCCGAGGAGCAGUUCAUGGCGGAGAUGGGCACCAUCGGCAGGACGCACCACAUCAACCUCGUCAGGCUCUACGGCUUCUGCUUCGACGCCAACGCCACACGUGCGCUCGUCUACGAGUUCAUGCCGAACGGCUCGCUCGACGACUACCUGUCCUCCGCCCGCAGGGCCGGCGCUGAGGUGAGCAUGACCACGGUGGCUGCCAUCGCCACCGGCGUCGCCAGAGGCCUCAGGUACCUCCACGAGGAGUGUCAGCACAAGAUCGUGCACUACGACAUCAAGCCCGGCAACGUCCUCCUCGACGCCACCCUCACGCCCAAGGUGGCCGACUUUGGCCUCGCGCGCUUCGUCAGCCGCGCCGACACGCACGUCUCCCUGUCCGGCGGGCGCGGCACCCCCGGGUACGCCGCACCGGAGGUGUGGACGGAGCUACGCAUCACGGAGAAGUGCGAUGUAUACAGCUUCGGCAUGCUCCUCCUCAAGAUCGUCGGCCGCGGUAGCAGCUUCCACUGCGAGGACGAUGCCGCGUCGGGCUCGGAGAGCAGCCAGCCGUGGUUUCCCAUGGUCGCAUGGACCAGGUACGAGGCCAGCGAUCUAAUGGAGCUCGUGUUGCCAACAGACGUGGAUGACACGCGUAGCAGUAGCAGAGAGGUGGUGGAGAGGAUGUGCAAGGUGGCGUUCUGGUGCGUGCAGCAGCGGCCGGCGGCGAGGCCGUCGAUGAGCGCGGUGGUGAAGAUGCUGGAGGGGGAGAUGGAGAUCGCUCCGCCGCCCAACCCAUUCCAGUAUCUCGUGGCCAACCUGUGGAUCAAUGUGGUAUCGUCGGACGUAGCUAGCAGCCAACAAUCAUGUCUAUCUUCACACAAGAAAUGA
rnacentral:rRNA from 1 species